UGUCCCAAUCGCUCCCCCGCGCCUUCCUCGCCACCUCCUCCCUUCGCGCCAUCGCAGCCUGGGCUCCCCCGCUCUCCUGGGUUUUCCACGCUGCCGCAGUCUCCCAGGUUUUCCGCGCCGCCGCAGAUUCUGCCACCGUUUGGUCCUGCUUCCUGCCCCGCGACCCCCCCCCCCCGCUUCCGCAACCUGCAGCCGGCACAGCCCUCCCCCAUCCUGCUGCAGCAGUCCGGAUCUGCUGCAACCCACCCAGAAAAAGUCGUCGCUCACCUCCAUCCACAGCAGCACUGGUCGCCGCCACCUUGGGUCCUACUUCGAGCAGCAGCGGCCACCUCCUCCCUCCACCACUUCGCUGCCCUCUCGGUGCGCCGUCACCACCGCGCCACCGUCCCGGUUCUCCACCACCGCUGACGACCUGCACAGAAAAAAGGGGGCACCGAAACCCAAGUCGCCGCCGGCACAGAAAUCGCCGCCUCGCGCCCGCUGCUCGACCGCCUCGUCGCCGACUUCUUCGAUCGCGCCGUCAAGGACCCAAGGAGGCGGAGGUCUUGAGGUUGGAUUGUGACCGGGAGGUUGAAGGAGACUAAUGGCUUCGAUAUCAGAUAGCGAGAUGACGAAUCAUGAGAGCAUAUGGGAGUUGGAUCAGAACCUUGAUCAGCCCAUGGAUGAGGAGGCUAGCAGGCUCAAAAACAUGUACAGAGAAAAGGUUCUGCAACCUUAAAAGCGCCUGAAGGUUGAGCCGGUUGGGCCUGGCACCGGGGAGAAGCUUUGAGGCCUAACAUUGCUCCAAUUAACCUGUCACAUGAGAAUCUAACUGAACAUUUGCUUCCCAGGCUAAUGAAAAAUUGAACAGCAGGAACAUGGAGCAGCAUAUCUUUAUAGCAUAACUGGGCAUUUGGGCUGGACUAUUUGGAAAAAUCAGGAAUAAUGCUUGUCUCAUACAUAAUAUGCCUGUUGAUCCAAUUGAGUGGUUCUUAUGAUGUGUUCUUAGUUGGAAUUUUCGCCUGCUCUGAAGAAAAACGAGGAGGGUGAGAAGUUGCAAUGGGAGCUCAACAACUACGCGGAGUUGCGAUAGAUUUUAACAACCUGGCGAAACAAUGGGUACCCUUGCAUAGAAGAUUGAUGGGUCAAUCAUUAAAACAUGAUGGAUGAUCUACUUCUGAUAAAACAUCUCAUGAGAUAGUGACAUGUGCUUUUGUUUUUCAGUUUAGUUAGUUGUGAUGGUCUAUAAUCUUGAGUCUUUUAUUGCUUUUAGCUCAGAACUUGGUUGUUUGGCAUGGGGUUACCUCGUUGUGUCAAACCUUGAGAUUUAUAUUUUGUUCAUGUAGACUACACUUGUGUUUGUAAUGACUAAUGAAUCUGUAUGGAUUGUUUUUUUAAUGAAAA